rnacentral:rRNA from 1 species
CCUACAGGCAGCAGUGGGGAAUAUUGGACAAUGGGCGCAAGCCUGAUCCAGCCAUGCCGCGUGGGUGAUGAAGGCCUUAGGGUUGUAAACCCCUUUCAGCGGGGAAGAUAAUGACGGUACCCGCAGAAGAAGCCCCGGCUAACUCCGUGCCAGCAGCCGCGGUAAUACGGAGGGGGCUAGCGUUGUUCGGAAUUACUGGGCGUAAAGCGCACGUAGGCGGACUUUCAAGUCAGGGGUGAAAUCCCGAGGCUCAACCUCGGAACUGCCUUUGAUACUGUAAGUCUUGAGUCCGAGAGAGGUGAGUGGAAUUCCUAGUGUAGAGGUGAAAUUCGUAGAUAUUAGGAAGAACACCAGUGGCGAAGGCGGCUCACUGGCUCGGUACUGACGCUGAGGAGCGAAAGCGUGGGUAGCAAACAGGAUUAGAUACCCCAGUAGUCC